UGGACAUAUGUAAUGAGAGCAGGACAGCAUUUCCCUUGGUUUGGAUGCAAGCAGUCCUAGUGGACAUUAUUGUGGUUUAGACUGUACCUUACAUUGUGGCAUCUAAUCUAUGUCC